AGAUACUGUUGUUUAUGAUUGGACACACUGGUUAAGAUUAACAUCAGAACCACGAGCAUGAGCUUUGAACUCAGAGGUAUGAUAGAACAAGUCAGCUUAACCCGUCCUGGUGAGAUCAGAAAAAGCCAAACACUUAUCAUCAUAUGAGAGAUAUCAGGUAUGUCUUUAUCAAUCUUAGUUUGCGUAUGUUCUUUUGUUAUUAUUAGCUGUACGACUACACACACUGAGGCAUGUUUUUGUUUAUCACCUAGAGCCUUUCUAGCCAUCCCAUUAUUAUUAUUAUCCAUUGUUUUACCCUGUUGAGCCUGUUAAUCAUUUAUUUUUGAUAUACCCGUUUUUUUUUCUAA
rnacentral:lncRNA from 1 species